rnacentral:rRNA from 1 species
UACGUAGGGCGCGAGCGUUGUCCGGAAUUAUUGGGCGUAAAGAGCUCGUAGGCGGUUUGUCGCGUCUGCUGUGAAAACCCGAGGCUCAACCUCGGGCCUGCAGUGGGUACGGGCAGACUAGAGUGCGGUAGGGGAGAUUGGAAUUCCUGGUGUAGCGGUGGAAUGCGCAGAUAUCAGGAGGAACACCAAUGGCGAAGGCAGAUCUCUGGGCCGUAACUGACGCUGAGGAGCGAAAGCAUGGGGAGCGAACAGG